rnacentral:rRNA from 1 species
UACGUAGGGUGCAAGCGUUAAUCGGAAUUACUGGGCGUAAAGCGUGCGCAGGCGGUUAUGUAAAGACAGAUGUGAAAUCCCCGGGCUCAACCUGGGAACUGCAUUUGUGACUGCAUGGCUAGAGUACGGUAGAGGGGGAUGGAAUUCCGCGUGUAGCAGUGAAAUGCGUAGAUAUGCGGAGGAACACCGAUGGCGAAGGCAAUCCCCUGGACCUGUACUGACGCUCAUGCACGAAAGCGUGGGGAGCAAACAGG